rnacentral:misc_RNA from 1 species
UUAAGUUCAGCAGGUAUCCCUACCUGAUCCGAGGUCAACCUUGAAAAAAUUGGGGUUGCUGGCAAGCUACCGACAGACCCUAUCGCGAGAGAAUUACUACGCGAAGAGCCAACCGCGCCGCCACUGAGUUUAAGAGUCGCUGGUGUGCGAACUCCAAUACCAAGCCAGGCUUGAGUGGUGUAAAUGACGCUCGAACAGGC